rnacentral:rRNA from 1 species
GCACUUUCGUUAAUUGAUUUUGAGAUGCUUGCAUCGAAGAUGAUUUUAACUAUAAAGUGAGUGGCGAACGGGUGAGUAACACGUGGGUAACCUGCCCAGAAGUGGGGGAUAACACCUGGAAACAGAUGCUAAUACCGCAUAACAAAAUUAACCGCAUGGUUGAUUUUUAAAAGAUGGCUUCGGCUAUCACUUCUGGAUGGACCCGCGGCGUAUUAGCUAGUUGGUGAGAUAAAGGCUCACCAAGGCAGUGAUACGUAGCCGACCUGAGAGGGUAAUCGGCCACAUUGGGACUGAGACACGGCCCAGACUCCUACGGGAGGCAGCAGUAGGGAAUCUUCCACAAUGGACGCAAGUCUGAUGGAGCAACGCCGCGUGAGUGAUGAAGGCUUUCGGGUCGUAAAACUCUGUUGUUGGAGAAGAACGUGUGUGAGAGUAACUGCUCAUGCAGUGACGGUAUCCAACCAGAAAGCCACGGCUAACUACGUGCCAGCAGCCGCGGUAAUACGUAGGUGGCAAGCGUUAUCCGGAUUUAUUGGGCGUAAAGCGAGCGCAGGCGGUCUUUUAAGUCUAAUGUGAAAGCCUUCGGCUUAACCGAAGAAGUGCAUUGGAAACUGGGAGACUUGAGUGCAGAAGAGGAGAGUGGAACUCCAUGUGUAGCGGUGAAAUGCGUAGAUAUAUGGAAGAACACCAGUGGCGAAGGCGGCUCUCUGGUCUGCAACUGACGCUGAGGCUCGAAAGCAUGGGUAGCGAACAGGAUUAGAUACCCUGGUAGUCCAUGCCGUAAACGAUGAAUGCUAAGUGUUGGAGGGUUUCCGCCCUUCAGUGCUGCGGCUAACGCAUUAAGCAUUCCGCCUGGGGAGAACGAACCGCAGGGUGAAACUCAAAAAAAAUGACGGGGGCCCGCAC